rnacentral:tRNA from 1 species
UGGGGGCUAGUUUAACAAAAACCACUAAUUUCGACUUAGUAAAACCCGCACACCGCGGGGCCACCUA